UACAAUGAUUACUGUUGUUUGGGGAAAACUGCCACCAUUUAAGCAAAACAGAAAAGCUCUUCAUCUUGGCAUGGCCGUGGCUGACACUGGUGAAGUUUAUUUGUGCAGGCUGGCAGAUAGAGAUGGGGUGGGUUAGCCGUAGUUCCUGUAGCCCCUUCCUGCUAGACGGCAUCCCCCUCGGGGGGCUCUUGGGGAAGUCUCUUGUACUGGGAAUCCUGAAGCUGGAUGAUCUUGUCCACAUGCCCUUUGGUAGUGUUCCGAAUGAAAGAACCCAUUCGCUUCGAUACAGAAUGAGCCAGGCAAUUAAGAAGACAAGGCCCGAACAUGAGCAGUACGAGGAUAAAGAAAAUGGGUCCCAGGAAGGAAGUUAACCAGGAAGGCAGCCAGUGUCCCAGCCCCAGCCACUGGAUCCAAGAACUGGAGCUUGGGCGGAACACAGAUGCUCUUUCUUGAAGUUUCUUUGCUGCAUCCCGGACGACUCCAGACUGGUUUAUGUAAAAGCAGCAUUCUUCCUGGAGGAAGAGACAGGUUCCCCCUUUCUCUGCCGUGAUGAGGUCCAGGGCUCUGCGGUUCUGGAGGACAACCCCUGCCAGCGAGUCUAUUUGGUCUUGGAGGGUGAUAAUGGAGGUGGCUAUUUCGUCGAGGCUGUCCGAGAGAGCCUUCGAGAGCUGUUGGAAAUAGAUGGUUGAGGUGCUGAUACCAGCGAUGCUUAGCCCGAGCGCAGACGUGAUGCCCAGGCCCACAAGAAGAGGGAGGAGAUGUGACCAAGAGUUCCCAGAAGAAAUCGAACCUCAUGCUGAACCUUCUGCAAAGCUGAUCAACUGUUUAGAACUUUGAAGUUUGUGGUCUUCUGUAGCCCAGAGUGUCCUGGCAAAGGUGAGGCUGAAGUCCUGAUCCUCCUGCCGCCACAUCCCAUGCGCUGGCCUCACAGGCAUUGACCACCCUGCCUCAGCUUGUGGCUGCCUCACAGCCGGACCGGGUGGGAUGGCUUUAUCCCGAAUCCUUGCAGUUCCCCAUGGCAGCUGUGGAAAUUCCAGCCACGGAGUCCCCCGGUUCUUUCUGGGGGCAGGAAGUGAUGCCCACCAGAUUGCUAGACCCAGAUCUAUGUCCUGCAGCUAGCGUCACUCGGUGUGCCUCUCCGGGGUUAACUUGGCCUUUUUUUUUUUGGGGGGGGGAGCACCCUGAGGAAACUGGUGGCCUGGGAGGCAGAGGAGUCUCACCCAUCUCCAAGUCACCUUGGUCUCCUCCCGAGAUGUUCCCCUGUCACAACCAUUCACCAGGUCCCAAGGAGGCUUUGGGAUUUCUGCACUAGCUUCCAAAAAGUAAUUGCUCAACAGGGACGUCCUCCCAGAGUCACUCUGCCUCGAGAGCUUUGUGUGAGAAACGGGAAAUGAGCAAAGAGGGAAGUUCCUGGUCUGAGCCUCUUGGUGUACAGGCCGCCAUAGACGGCCCACCCCCACCACUGUAUGCUAGCUGGAGGGAACCGGAAGGGCAGGUCCCAAGCCCAGACUGCUCAGGAAGCUGAUUCUGUUUUCAGACAGGGUCUCACAUAGCCCAGGCUGGACCCCUGAUUCCCCAUAAACUUAGAAUGGCUUGAAACUUCGGAUCCUCCCUCUGUUCCCUCCUGAAUCCUGAGAUCACACCCAGCCCCAACCUUGCCCAGUUUAUACAGCGCCGAGGGCUGAACCCAAGGUGUUGUGUGCGCUAGGCUCUGCCAACUGCUCUGUAGCUCAGCACCAGCUCGUUUCAGGCACUAUGGUUCCCUUUAUCCCUCUGUUGCCUUGGGUUUGUUGUUUGGCCUUGCUGUGGUUUUGAGAAGGUCUUUGUGUCAGUCCUUCUGCCCCAGUCCCUGCAGUGUUAUGGUCAGACCUGUCUUGGGACACCUCCAUUUUGAAGAUGGAUCUCAUUUUGAGUCAUGUAGGUUUAGUUUGUUAGUUUGUUUUUCGAGACAGGGUUUCUCUAUGAAGCCCUGGCUGUCCUCUUCUCACUCUGUAGACCAGGCUGGCCUGGAACACACAGGGAUCCACCUGACUUUCCCUCCCCGAGUGCUGGGAUCAAAAGGGCCACCACAUCUGGCUGGUCUCAUGUAGUUCUAAAGGCUUUGAAAUCACUCUGUAGCAGAGGAUGACCAUAAAAUCCUGACCCUCCUGUCCUCCUCUCCCCUAGUAUUGAGACCACAGGCAUGGAAUACUGUGGGUGGGUUUUAUGCACUGCUGGGCAUGAAAACCAGGGAGUGAGCUCCAAGUACUUUAGGCAAACACUCUACCCAUUGAACUACAUUCUUAGCACUCCUCACACCAAUGUAUCUUUUGCAGAAGAGGGAGGGUGGUUCAAGACAGGGAUUCCGCUGGGCGUGGUGGCACACACCUGUGAUCCCAGUGAGUCUGGAACAGCCAGGGCUACACAGAGAAACUCUGUCUCAAACAAACAAAACAAACAAAAAGACAGGGUCUCUUUGUGUAGCCCUGGCUGUCCUGGACUCACUCUAUAAAAGAGGCUGGCCUUGAACUCACAGAGAUUCUCCUGCCUCUGCCUUCUGAGUGCUGGGAUUGAAAUCCUACACCAGCAACACCCUGCCCACCAAUGUAUCUUUAAGAAAAGUUUUCGAAGGUUUAUUUGUUUGAAUGUGUGUGUGCGUGUGUGUUACACAGGAACUAACAGAAGAGUGUGAAAGUUGAAGAACGACUUGCAGGAGUAAGUUGUCUCUUUCCUUGUGUGAGUUUUGGGGAUUGAACUCAGGCCAUCAUUCCCAGUGGCAAGCUCUUUUCCUGCUCAGCCCCAUCAUUGUUUUGGUUUUCAAAGAGGCAAAACACCAAUGCCCAUAAAAUUAAAAAUAAAUAGAGACAGAGAAAGAGAAUGCCUCCAUAAGACCCAGCUAUAUAGCUGGUAGUGGCAGGUGGAUCUCUGAGUUUGAGGCCAGAGUUCCAGGACAGCCAGGGCUACACAGAGAAACCCUCUCUGGGGGGCAUCUAUAAGGCAUUGAAAUUUUAUUUUAUUUUAUGGGUCUGAGUCCUUUGCCUGCAUGUAUGUAUGUACACCACAUGCAUGCCCCGUGCCUGGGGAAGCCAGGAGAGCCAGUUCCUCUGGAACAAGAGUUAAGGGUGGCCGUGAGCCUCCUUGUGGGUGCUGAUGGAUCCUGGGUCCUCUGCAAACGCAGCAAAUGCUCCUAACUGCUUAAACUUCUCUCCAGCCCCUGAUUUUUUUUUUUUUUUUUUAAAUAUCACUGGCCUAGAACUCACCAAGUAGGGAAGGCUGCUGGGCCAUCUAGCCUGUCUUUGCCUCUUCAGAACUGCAGUUAAAAACAUGUGCCAUAGCGUUUUUGGUUUUGUUUUUUUCUUUUUUCACAUAGCAGAUAUCCUGCAUAUCAGAUAUUUACAUUACAAUUCAUAACAGUAGCAAAAUUACUGUUUUGAAGUAGCAACAAAAUAAUUUUAUGGCUGGAGGUCACCACAGCAUGAGGAACUGUAUUAAAGGGUCACAGCAUGUGGAAGGUUUCAAACCUCCGCCUUGGAGCAUCUUAAGCUUUGUCAGUAUCAUACAUGUAUUCAGUGUUCCUUGGUCAUACCCACCCACGCACCAUCUUUCCCUGAGUCCCUCAGGCCCCACUCCCCUCUUCAUACCCUUUUGCUCUCUGAUACCUCACUGAGUUCAGUUAGUGGUCCCACACGUGCCUGGGUAUGGUGCAUCCACUAGAGCAUGGGCAGCCUAACAGAGGCCAUGCACAGGAAGAAGCUGACUCUGAGCUGGAGAGAUUGGCUCAGUCAUUAAGGGUGUUUGCUUCUCUUCCAGAGGACAGAGUUCAGUCCCAAUGGUGCCUGUAACUCCAGCAUUAGGAGAUCUGAGGCCUUUCCUGGCUUCCUGGAGUAUCUGCACACACACACACCCCAAAAUAAAUAAAAAAGAGAACAAAAAUUGAUUCUCCUGUCCCCGGCUGCUAUUAAUUACCAAAAUAUGAAGCAUAUUGAGUCCCUCCCCAUGUUUCUGGGUGUUUGUUUGUUUGUUUGUUUGAGAACAGGGUCUCACUUUGUAGGCCUGAUCAUCCAGUACUGGCUCUGUGGAGCAGGCUAUGCUCAAACUCGGAGCUCCACCUGCCUCUCCUUGGGGAGUGUGCUAUGAUUGAAUGAACCACUAUGCCCAGCCCUAUCUCUUCUUUCUUUGAGACAGUGCCAUGUUGCCAAGCAAGACCUCAAACUCAAUGUGUAAUGGAGGAUGCAUGAGUCCCUACGCCCCAUCCCCACACAGCAAAACCCAGGUGUGACUGUGUGUAUCUGCCAUCCCAGCACUCAGAAUGUGGAGGCAGGAGGGUCAGGAGUUCAAGGUCAGCCUCAGGCACAUACUUCUAGGCCAACUGGAGCUACAUGAGAACCUAUUCUUUUUUUUGUGUUGUUGUUUGUUUGUUUCUUGACACAGGGUUCCUCUAUUUUAGUCCUGGCUGUCCUGGAACUCACUCUGUAGAGCAGAGAAACCCUGUCUUAAACAAAUAAAAUAAGCUACUGGGUAGUGGUGGCA